AUGGACGGCCUCCUCUAUUGGGACUUCUCCCCCGGCCUUAGGGUCGAGGCCCAGGUGCGUGCACGCUUCGGAUCUACGGUUCAUUUCGUCCCCAACCCUAACUCCAAGGAGUUCUUCCUUGAGGUUUCCUUUUCUUCGGCUUCUUUUCCCCUCUCGGAGUAUUCUGUUGGUUUGGCUCUUCAAUAUUGUAUUGGA
rnacentral:rRNA from 1 species